UUAUCUGCCCACUGAAUAUAAAUUUUUAAAGGGCCGCAGUAUUUUGACUGUGCAAAGGUAGCAUAAUCAUUAGUCUUUUAAUUGAAGGCUAGUAUGAAUGAUUGGACGAGGAAAAUUCUGUUUUAUAAUUAUAAGUGUUGAAUUUUGAUUUUAAGUAAAAAUACUUAGAUGUAAUUAAGGGACGAGAAGACCCUAUAGAAUUUAAUAAAUUAAGUUCUAAUUUUGUUUAAUAUAAAUUUUUAAUUAUAAUAUUAUUUAUUUAAUUGGGGUGAUUAAAAGAUAAAAAUAACUCUUUUUUAUGAUAAAUAUUAUGAAUAAUUUAAAAAUCCAUAUUUAAUGAUUAUAAGAUUAAAUUACCUUAGGGAUAACAGCAUUAUUUUUUUUAAGAGUUCUUAUCGAAAAAAAAGAUUGUGACCUCGAUGUUGGAUUAAGAUAAAUUUUGAAUGUAAAUGUUUAAAAAUUGGGUCUGUUCGACCUUUAAAAUCUUACA
rnacentral:rRNA from 1 species